rnacentral:rRNA from 1 species
CACGGAGGGCGCAAGCGUUGUCCGGAAUUAUUGGGCGUAAAGAGCUCGUAGGCGGUCUGUUACGUCUGCUGUGAAAACCCGGGGCUUAACCCUGGGCUUGCAGUGGAUACGGGCAGACUAGAGGCAGGUAGGGGAGAAUGGAAUUCCCGGUGUAGCGGUGAAAUGCGCAGAUAUCGGGAGGAACACCGGUGGCGAAGGCGGUUCUCUGGGCCUGACCUGACGCUGAGGAGCGAAAGCGUGGGGAGCGAACAGG